rnacentral:tRNA from 1 species
GGAUGGUGCCGCCCGUGGCCGGGCAAGCAGUCCUGAAAACUGCCGAGGACGCGGCUCGAACCCGCGUGGGAUCGAUACCUACACCAUCCGCCA